rnacentral:rRNA from 1 species
ACUGGCUCAGGGAGGUCGGCAACGACCACCCAGAGCCGGAAAGUCUGUCAAACUACGUCAUUUAGAGGAAGUAAAAGUCGUAACAAGGUUUCCGUAGGUGAACCUGCGGAAGGAU